rnacentral:rRNA from 1 species
UACGAAGGGUGCAAGCGUUACUCGGAAUUACUGGGCGUAAAGCGUGCGUAGGUGGUUCGUUAAGUCUGAUGUGAAAGCCCUGGGCUCAACCUGGGAAUGGCAUUGGAAACUGGCGACCUAGAGUGCGGUAGAGGGUAGUGGAAUUCCCGGUGUAGCAGUGAAAUGCGUAGAGAUCGGGAGGAACAUCCGUGGCAAAGGCGACUACCUGGACCAGCACUGACACUGAGGCACGAAAGCGUGGGGAGCAAACAGG